ACGCUCGACACCUACGGGAGCAGCAGUAGGGAAUCUUCCACAAUGGACGCAAGUCUGAUGGAGCAACGCCGCGUGAGUGAAGAAGGUCUUCGGAUCGUAAAACUCUGUUGUUAGAGAAGAACACGAGUGAGAGUAACUGUUCAUUCGAUGACGGUAUCUAACCAGCAAGUCACGGCUAACUACGUGCCCGCAGCCGCGGUAAUCUGAGCGGGCUGGCAAGGC
rnacentral:rRNA from 1 species